GAAACAAGCUAUCACACUUGGACAGUCAGAACCAGAUUUUAGAACUCUUUAAGCAUGUGAUUGUGGGACUAAUGUGUGACUAUAAUUACUUCCUUUAUGUUUGCCAGCUGGCAAUGACACUGGGAAUCAGGUCAUUACAUAUGGGAUGGGAGACCGCAUGAAGAAGUGUAGAGCUGAGUUCCAAGUUUGGUGCCAAUUGAAUACUGGGCAAGAUUCCAGACAGCAUCAGUAAUGUGGGAGAACUGCCGAAAGUUAAGGAGCUAGGCUGAGCAGUGGGGGUUUCAAUUAAAAACCACAGGAAAGGAAAGGAAUAUGUCAAUAAAACCACA